rnacentral:tmRNA from 1 species
GGGGGCGUACAUGGUUUCGACGGGGAUCAUGGAGGCCGGAUAAGCGAGCCGAAGACCCGUACUUCGUAAAAAACGGGACAGAUAGUAACUGGCAAAACAAAUACAGUACCCGUUGCCGCGUAAAUUGCGGUAACCGUCCGCCCGCCGUUGCCCACGACGGCGGAUACGGGCGUCAUUAAUGUGGGGAACCAACCUGCGUAAGCUUUGCCGCAGGCGGGAUUUAUGAAGCUACCGAAGCGCCGACCCUGUUGAUGGGGGCUUCGCGGAGGGAAUUUUAAAUCAUCAACUACGCUCGUAGAAGGUCCUGUUGACAGGUUUUCGGACAGGGGUUCGAUUCCCCUCGCCUCCACCA